rnacentral:rRNA from 1 species
GACGAACGCUGGCGGCGUGCUUAACACAUGCAAGUCGAACGGUAAGGCCCUUCGGGGUACACGAGUGGCGAACGGGUGAGUAACACGUGAGUGAUCUGCCCUGCACUUCGGGAUAAGCCUGGGAAACUGGGUCUAAUACCGGAUAGGACUCCGGACUGCAUGGUCUGGGGUGGAAAGCUUUGGCGGUGUGGGAUGGGCCCGCGGCCUAUCAGCUUGUUGGUGGGGUGAUGGCCUACCAAGGCGACGACGGGUAGCCGGCCUGAGAGGGUGAACGGCCACACUGGGACUGGGUUACGGCCCCGACUCCUACGGGGGGCAGCAGUGGGGAAUCUUGCACAAUGGGCGAAAGCCUGAUGCAGCGACGCCGCGUGAGGGAUGACGGCCUUCGGGUUGUAAACCUCUUUCAGCACAGACGAAGCGCAAGUGACGGUAUGUGCAGAAGAAGGACCGGCCAACUACGUGCCAGCCGCCGCAGUAA